AAGUUCGUAAAGUAAAAAGUUUAUAAAGUUUUUAAAGGCGGAUUGAAUUCCACUUUAUAACUUUAUGAACCUUAUAACUUUUAACUUUUGUAACUUGCGUGCGCGUUGCGCACGCGGUAGGAGAGCAUUCCCGUUGCGUCGAAGCUGUACUCGCGAGAGGCGGUGGAGCGGCGGGAAGAGAGAAUGUUGGAAUGAGUAACCACAAUCCUAAUGAGAAAUUGGGACCCCGAAAAUCCAAGGUUUCCGUGGCACUGGCAAUCAACCACGGGUUAGUCGGCCCUAAGUCAAUGGUGAAAACCGCAGACGAUGGACAGACGGUUAAUAUUCCGUCACUUCCGUGUUUUUCGAUGGAGGGACGAGGUUCAGUAGAUGGAGCGCCUUAUUGGUUUGGCGUCCUUGCGCGAGGUUGUGCUUUUGGUAAAUCCGGAGCGCUGCGUUCAAUCGCGAAUCCCAGCAAAAAGGCAAUUGUCGGUUUUACCGGCGAACGUUCAUCGAGCGAGUCUUCAAGAAAAACUUCUAAGGUUAAAGACACGGAAUCCGUACCGUAAACCGACACAGGUGGAUAGGGCGAGAAGCCCAAGGGGAACGAGUGAUUCGCCGUCAAGGAACUAGGCAAAAAAGCGGCCGUAAGUUAGCGAUAAGGCCUCGAAAGUCUUCCUGGCGACUGUUUACCAAAAACACAGCUCCCUGCUAACUCGCAAGAGGAUGUAUAGGGGGUGACACCUGACCGAUGCGAGAAGGUCAAUCUUGCCGGUCGCGGGGCGACUCGGCACGCAGAUUUUCGCGGAUAAUCAGCGCUUCGCGCUUCGCAGAUUUACGCAGAUACGUAUCAGCGUAUAUCAGCGUAGCGAACGAAGUGAGCUGAAGAAUCCGCGUUCAUCAGCGUGCGAAGUCGCCUCGCGGCUGAGCGAGCUAAGCCCUCGUCAAUGUCAGCGAUAACUAUGAAAAGAUUGUAGUUAUAAAAUUUGGCUAUAUGCUGGAAUAACCGUGCAUCCGGCGCUACUUGAAAAAGUUACAAUGCGUCCGGUGCGGUCAAUCAGCAGGAAAGAUUUUGGUAGUAGUGGUAUAAUCGGGACAAUGAAGCCGCAUUGGCUUAUGAAAAUCCCAGAAAAUAUCGGAUGGUAUAUUUCAGGUUUUGCGGAUGGAGAGGGUAGUUUUAAUGUUUCCUUUCGCAAAGGCAACGGCCAUCGUUUAGGGUGGCAAGUUCAACUUACCUUUAAUAUUUCUCAGCGUGAUAUUACUAAUUUGGAAAUCAUAAAAGAUACAAUGGGAUGCGGACGAUUACAGCAUCGCCGCGAUGGGGUUCACUACUUCGUCGUUGGCGAUAAUCGUUCAAUACUUGAUCGUGUUAUACCAUUUUUCGAUAAGUUUUCUUUCUUUUCUUAUUCAAAAAAGAAAAACUUCUCGUUAUUCAGGAAAAUUGCAUUUCUUGUGAAACAGAGAAAACAUCUUACCCCGGCUGGAUUGCAUCAAAUUGUUGCAAUCCGCGAAAGGUUGAAUGAAGGGAGAGGCAGAAAACGAAAAUACAACAAAGAAAACAUCGAAAUAAUUACCAAAAAAUCCUCAGAGACUACACGCCAAACUUCGACACAAGGUCGGAGAUGAUAUAGUCCGAACUGCAUGGCGACAUGCAGAGUUGUCUUGAGUAAUCGAGACAGAAUAACACAUGAAUCGUUCUAAGGUAAAAGCUAUCGGUGCAGAUAAUCAGCAGGAAAGGCUAAAAACAGGUUGUUGGAUUUCUGGUUUUACGGAUGGUGAAGGAUGCUUUACUGUUUCGGUAAUCAGAAAUAUAACCACUCGAUUCGGCAAGCAAAUUUUUCCGGAAUUCGUAAUUACGCAAGGCGCCAAAAGUUUAGCGGCACUUGAAAACAUAAAGAAGUUCUUUGGUUGUGGAAGUAUCGUUUUAAAUAAGCGGUACGAUAAUCACAACGAACAUCUUUAUCGUUAUUGCGUGAGGUCAAUUUCGGAAUUGAAAGAAAUUAUUAUUCCAUUUUUCCAAGAAUUUCCGCUUCGAACAUACAAGCAUAAAGAUUUCCUAAUAUUCAAAAAGGUUAUCGAUAUGAUGAGUAAAAAGAAGCAUCUGACUGAAGAAGGAUGGAAAAGAAUUCUCGAACUUGCUGGCAAAACGAAUCGUAGAAAAAACCGUUUUUAGAAUCCCCAGAGACUAUACGUCGAACCCGAAGCACAUAAAGUUUAUGUGCUCGGUGAAGAUAUAGUCCGAACUGCAUAGCGAUAUGCAGAGACGAGCAGAAAUGUUUCGUUCGCGUAGCGAACGCGCAGAACUACGCAGACAGCACGCAAACAAACGCAGAAAUUUUCCGCGUAAGUCAGCGUAAAGUCCGCGUCAGUCCGCGAUUGUUACGAAGUAACAAUAUGAGCGCAAUUCCUUUUCGGGUAAGUUCCGAAGCGCACGAAAGGUGUAACGACUGGGAAACUGUCUCGACGGCGAGCUCGGUGAAAAUGCGAUUCCCGUGANGUGGAGGCGCCAAUGAAACACCCAUUUUUAAGAUUUUAAAUUCUAACCCCGACGGCAAAAACGUCGAGGGACAGUGCUUGGCAGGCAGUUUCAAUGGGGCGUUGUCCUCCUAAAGAGUAACGGAGGAGUCUAUUAAGGUCGGCUUAGUCCGGAUGGAAACCGGACUGGACGCGUAAAGGCAAAAGCCGGCUUAACUGCAAGACAUACAAGUCGCGCAGAUGCGAAAGCAGAGCUUAGUGACCCGACCAUCAUGCGUGCGUAGCACGCAGUUUAUAAAGUUCGUAAAGUAUAAAGUUUAUAAAGUUUUUAAAGGCGGAUUGAAUUCCACUUU
rnacentral:ncRNA from 1 species